AGCAGCCGCGGUAAUUCCAGCUCCAAUGGCAUACAUUAAAGCUAUUGCAGUUAAAAAGCUCGUAGUUGAGUUUCGGAAUCUGUCCGUUGGUCGGGCUUCACUGUCCAUACUGGUGUGAUGGGUUCUUACCUUCUGAAUAACCAGCAUGCCAUUCACUUGGUGCGCUGGGGAAGUAGGAUGUUACCUUAAAAAAAUUAGAGUGCUCAAAGCAGGCUAGUGCCUGAAUACACUAGCAUGGCAUGGUUCUAUUUUGUUGGUUUCUAGGAUCACCGUAAUGAUUAAUAGGAUAGUUGGAGACAUUAGUAUUCAAUUGUCAGAGGUGAAAUUCUUGGAUUUAUUGAAGACUGACUUCCGCGAAAGCAUUUGCCAAGGAUGUUUUCAUUAAUCAAGAACGAAAGCUAGGGGAUCGAAGACGAUCAGAUACCGUCGUAGUCUUAACCAUAAACUAUACCGACUAGGGAUAGGGCUAUGUUGAUUUUUUGAUGACUCG
rnacentral:rRNA from 1 species